rnacentral:lncRNA from 1 species
GUCGUCCCAUCAAAAGAAAGAUUUUGUUUUAAAGAGUGAUAAGAUAUUACAUAACAUAGAUAGUUUUUAGUGAUAGCCAAGACUUUAUAAUCACUUCAAUAGAACUUUUUAGAAAAUUUCUUCUGUUUGUUUUACCAUUUAUAUAGGAUAUACUAAUAUUUUAGGCUGAGAUGGGCUUGACCAUGCACCAUUCUUUCAU